AUUGAACGCUGGCGGAAUGCUUUACACAUGCAAGUCGAGCGGCAGCGCGGGGCAACCUGGCGGCGAGCGGCGAACGGGUGAGUAAUACAUCGGAACGUACCCAGUUGUGGGGGAUAGCCCGGCGAAAGCCGGAUUAAUACCGCAUACGACCUGAGGGUGAAAGGGGGGGAUCGCAAGACCUCUCGCAGUUGGAGCGGCCGAUGGCGGAUUAGCUAGUUGGUAAGGUAAAGGCCUACCAAGGCGACGAUCCGUAGCGGGUCUGAGAGGACGACCCGCCACACGGGAACUGAGACACGGUCCAGACUCCUACGGGAGGCAGCAGUGGGGAAUUUUGGACAAUGGGGGCAACCCUGAUCCAGCCAUUCCGCGUGAGUGAAGAAGGCCUUCGGGUUGUAAAGCUCUUUCGGCAGGAACGAAACGGUCCUUUCUAAUAAAGAGGGCCAAUGACGGUACCUGAAGAAGAAGCACCGGCUAACUACGUGCCAGCAGCCGCCGUAAUAC
rnacentral:rRNA from 1 species